rnacentral:rRNA from 1 species
AGAAAAACCAUACACAAGAUCUCAGAUGAGGUAAGGACUACCCCGCCCGAAUUUAAAGCAUAUCAAAUAAAGCGGGAGGA